GACGAACGCUGGCGGCGUGCUUAACACAUGCAAGUCGAACGAAGAGCGAUGGAAGCUUGCUUCUAUCAAUCUUAGUGGCGAACGGGUGAGUAACGCGUAAUCAACCUGCCCUUCAGAGGGGGACAACAGUUGGAAACGACUGCUAAUACCGCAUACGAUCUGACCUCGGCAUCGAGGAUAGAUGAAAGGUGGCCUCUACAUGUAAGCUAUCACUGAAGGAGGGGAUUGCGUCUGAUUAGCUAGUUGGAGGGGUAACGGCCCACCAAGGCGAUGAUCAGUAGCCGGUCUGAGAGGAUGAACGGCCACAUUGGGACUGAGACACGGCCCAGACUCCUACGGGAGGCAGCAGUGGGGAAUCUUCCGCAAUGGACGAAAGUCUGACGGAGCAACGCCGCGUGAGUGAUGACGGCCUUCGAGUUGUAAAGCUCUGUUAAUCGGGACGAAAGGCCUUUUUGCGAAUAGUGAGAAGGAUUGACGGUACCGGAAUAGAAAGCCACGGCUAACUACGUG
rnacentral:rRNA from 1 species